rnacentral:rRNA from 1 species
UACGUAGGAUGCGAGCGUUAAUCGGAAUUACUGGGCGUAAAGCGUGCGUAGGUGGUUCGUUGUGUCUGUGGUGAAAGCCCCCGGGCUUAACCUGGGAAUGGCCAUGGAAACUGGCGAGCUGGAGUCUGGCAGAGGGGGGUGGAAUUCCGCGUGUAGCAGUGAAAUGCGUAGAGAUGCGGAGGAACACCGAUGGCGAAGGCAGCCCCCUGGGCUAAGACUGACGCUGAGGCACGAAAGCGUGGGGAGCAAACAGG